rnacentral:piRNA from 1 species
UUCUAGGCAUAAAGGCAAAACAUCCUAUUA